ACACUCCUGCGGGAGGCAGCAGUGGGGAAUUUUGGACAAUGGGCGCAAGCCUGAUCCAGCCAUGCCGCGUGCGGGAAGAAGGCCUUCGGGUUGUAAACCGCUUUUGUCAGGGAAGAAAAGGUUCUGGCUAAUACCUGGGACUCAUGACGGUACCUGAAGAAUAAGCACCGGCUAACUACGUGCCAGCAGCCGCGGUAAUACGUAGGGUGCAAGCGUUAAUCGGAAUUACUGGGCGUAAAGCGUGCGCAGGCGGUUAUGCAAGACAGAGGUGAAAUCCCCGGGCUCAACCUGGGAACUGCCUUUGUGACUGCAUGGCUAGAGUACGGUAGAGGGGUAUGGAAUUCCGCGUGUAGCAGUGAAAUGCGUAGAUAUGCGGAGGAACACCGAUGGCGAAGGCAAUCCCCUGGACCUGUACUGACGCUCAUGCACGAAAGCGUGGGGAGCAAACAGGAUUAGAAACCCGUGUAGUCCC
rnacentral:rRNA from 1 species